CACGGUCCGACCGGCUGCUGCUAUCGCUGGCCGCCGUGUGCUAUGGGCGUUUAUCAGAUGGCAAGAGUACUGCAGCUGCAGCCUGCAGGAGAGAAAUAGUUCCAUGUAUUAGGCUGCUUUGACAGAUAAUUACAUGGGUGUGUGGGCAUGGCGCCCAUCAGAUCUGCCCGCACUUUUCUCCUACGACAUUUGCCAAAACUCAAAAGGAGAAACUGCCAGAUCAUACCUCUAAUUAAGCAGACACAGGUCGAUCUCGCCAUGGAAGUAGAACUGCAAUCAGUUUCUGUGGCAAACCAAAAUUAGGUUGCUUGUUGGCACUCUAUCCGCUUGAUUUGGUACCUGCUGAUCCGCCAUGGACGUCGAACUGCAAUCAGUUUGUUGGACAAACCAAAUUUUGGUCGCUCUUUGGCGACUCUACCCGCUUGACAUUGGUACCUGCUGAUCUGCGACGGUAGUGCGGCUAGUCCAGAUUCGAUAACCAUGAAAUCGAGGAGAGGGUCGGUGAAGAUUGGAAUUGGAGGGAGACAGAUGGGAUAUGUAGACAGGAAAGGGAAGAACAAACGUCACGAAGAGAAGGGGAGAAGAUUGGGCUGUGGGC
rnacentral:lncRNA from 1 species